UUCAAGUCCCUCUAUCCCCAAAA
rnacentral:tRNA from 101 species